rnacentral:lncRNA from 1 species
CAGGGUGCUAGAGUUCAAGAGAGAGUGCAUGCAGGGACUGUGUAACAUCAUCAGGAAAGUGCAGGACAAGAGCCCCCUCAAGUAUCUGACUGUUAGGCAGUUGGUGUGCCUGGAUCCGUCAGUAAUGUACAGAGAACCCGAAAGAUGCAGGAAUCACAUGAAAGGGCUGGUUCAGAGGUUUCUUCAGGAUAAACAGCUAACUGAUACUUCUGCAGGGGACGUCAUACUGCAGCAGUUUGACAGUCUCCUGUCCUUGGAGAGCAGGAGUGAGGACUUCCUCUCCUUUCCUCCCAUGCAGAAGAGGCUGGACGUCUUCCUGUGCAGUGCCAUGGAGCCUUAUCCAGAGCUGUGGGCCUUCUGCAAGAAGCUGCUCAUCCUCUCCCACGGCCAAGCUACGGUUGAACGUGGAUUCUCCAUCAAUAAAGAGGUUGAGUCAGAUAACUUGAAGGAGGACACUGUGGUCACACGGAGACUGGUGUGUGACUACAUCAUACAACAUGGAGGUGUUACCCAGGUUCCACUCAGUAAACAGCUACUGGCAAGUGUAGCAAGAGCUAGGACAAGGUAUCGUAUCCAUCUUGAGACCAAUAGAAAGAACAAGGAGGCAAAAGACCAGGCUCUCAAGAGGAAGGAGGCAGAGGACUGUCUUCAGGAGUUGAAGGUGAAGCGAAGAUGCAUACAGGAGGUAUCUGAGGGUCUGGCUAGGGAUGCGGACAGGCUGGCUGAGGAGGCUGAAGCGAAGGCAGGGAGCAAAAUGGCUGACCUGAUCACCAGGUCCAACAUCCUGCGGAGAGGCCAUAAGGAGAAGUUGGCAGAAAUGGCUCUCCUUGAUAAAGAGAUCACUGCUAAGAGUGCAGAACUUAGGGGUUGAUUGUGUGAUCGUAAUCUUAUUUAUUGUUGAGUUUAUUUUAAUUGUGUAUUGCUCAAGAGUGUACUCCCCAUAUUCCCAACAUGGAAUAAGUAGAUUGGUUAAUGUUAGCAAUGUUAAAAAAACAACUUAACUGUGUUAAGCAAUCUUUUUUUUUUUGUGGUCUGCUGAAAAUUUCUUUGGUUUUUCACACCUCUGUUUGGCUUGUCUGUGGUCUGUGCUGUGGUGUUGUAGCGUAAGUAGGCCUACUCACUAUUAUGCUGCAAUAUUACAUAAUUCUUCCAUAAUGCUUUACGCAGUCCACAUUUUCACAUUUGUUUGAGAAAUAAAUGAUCAAACAAAAAAAAGUGUUUUUCUUUG